ACUCCUGGCAUGUAACCGGGGCCAGCCCUUGGGUGUGACCUGUCAGGUGCCACACUGACUGCUGGCUCCUGUCCGAUCUGGGCGUGCAAGCCACUGCCCAUGUCAGUGGGUCUGGGGUCAGAUCCCAUGUUUCCAGAUGCGGUGGCAACACAUACGGAAUCCUGGGAUGUCAGUGCUGUAGGGAACUCCCAAGACCAUCCAGGCUCAGACCUUUCAUUUACAGACAAGGCGCCCACUGAGAGGAGAGGCCUUGCCCAAGAUCACUCAAUAUUUUGGGGACACUCCCAUCUUCCAAUUCCACAGAGCCCUGGACAGGGGCAGUAGGCCCAGGAGCUGAGUGAGCGGGAAGAGAGAUGCUCAGGCCCCAGUGGCCGCCUUCUGCUCCCGGCACCUGCCACCUGGGUCUUGUUGGAAACUGUCCUCAUGUGGGUGCCAGGUCAUCCCAUCCACUGCAGGGAGUCUCUUCCUGAAGACUGGCAGGGGCCCAGCCAGAGGCCUCAUGGUGCCACCUACUGCCUCAGGUGGUGGGAAGACUGUGCCCAAGGACUGCCCUUCAGAGCCCAGGUUGGGACUGCGGGCUGGGCAGCGGCCCCUGGAGGUGAGGCUGGGGAUUGCAGCUUCCUGUCAGCCCCUGCCUCCCUGCUCAUCUUCUCAGCCCAGGCACCCUGCAGGUCCCACCUAGUUGCA